rnacentral:siRNA from 1 species
CGGGUUACGGUGCCCAACUGCGC